rnacentral:rRNA from 1 species
UUUACCAGAGUACUAUGAAUAUAAAAAAUUUAAAACUCAAAGAACUUGGCGGUGUUUUAGACCACUUAGGGGAACCUGUCUCGUAAUCGAUAAUCCACGUUAUAUCUGACCUUUUUUUGUUUUCAGUUUGUAUACCGUUGUCGUCAGGUAACUUUUUAGAAACUAGAAGUUAGCAAUAGAAAUAUAGUAAUUUAAUACGUCAAAUCAAGGUGCAGCUAAUAAAAAGGGGAGGAUGGGUUACAAUUAUAUGAUUUAUAAUACGGGAAAAUAUAUGAAAUAUAUAUUAGUUUAAAGGCGGACUUAAAAGUAAAUUAAAUUUAUAUAAAUAAUUUGAAUAGGGCUCUGAAACGUGU